rnacentral:rRNA from 1 species
AAACUUUCAACAACGGAUCUCUUGGUUCUGGCAUCGAUGAAGAACGCAGCGAAAUGCGAUAAGUAAUGUGAAUUGCAGAGUUCAGUGAAUCAUCGAAUCUUUGAACGCACAUUGCGCCCGCCAGUAUUCUGGCGGGCAUGCCUGUUCGAGCGUCAUUU